GGCUUGGUGGUGUAAUGGUAACACGUCUUUGUCUCUUGAUCGAGGAGUGUUAGAGUUUAAGAAGAAAUUCCCCGUUCGAUUCGGGGCCAGGCCU